CUAGCAAAAUCUCCGGCGCAUGCAAAAUCACCGCCUCGCCUUCCAUCGUCGCCCCUGUGCUGGCGUGGAAAUCGGUGAACCUCGCGCCCGUCGUCGUCCUUUUGUGCCCCUACCAUCCAUCUUCGCCCCGUGUCGCGCUCCCCUUCCAUCCUCGCCCCACACGUCGUGCCCCCCUUCCAUCGUCGCCCCUGGACCGCGCUCCCCUUCCAUUCUUGCUUGCCUGCACUCUGCCUUCCGGCCGCCGUGGAUGUUGCCCCUCAUCCCCUUCCAUCCUCGCUCGGAUGUGCUCGACCUUAAAUCCCCGUGAAUGCCAUCGUCGUGAUGCUCAGGUGAGGCGGCGGUGCUGCCCACGCGCCACUGCCACAUGAGAGGAGGAGCACAAGGGCGUCACUAUGCUGAGCGCGGAGGCCCUAGGCCCCUUUCACCUCACCUCCACAACAAUUGUGGCCCUGAGUUGCGCCGGCGCUGCCUCUCUGUCCUCCAGUGCAUCCGCUGCGGGCUUUCUCCUACUCCAGUCCUCUCCUCACCCUGACCCUGCCUCAAAUCCAAUCUCACUCCCAUCUCGUGGUCCACAUCCUCCUCGCUUCUCCACGAUGACGGCGGCCCUGCCCAGUGUCACGGCACGCAGCAUCGAGACGAGCGCAGAGGCCCUAGGCCCUUUCCACCUCACCUCCAUGGCGACGAUGGCCUUGAGCUUCGUGGCGCCCGGUGCCUCGCACUCCGGCUAGGCCUGCUCUACCACGACCUGGCAUUAUCCCGCGUGCAUGACAACCAGGGAGAGGUCAAGAUUGGCGACAUCGUUCUCACUCUCACCGCCAUCCUCCACAAGUCCCACACCGUCCACUGCGUAGGUAUACCGGAGUUUAUGGCACCAGAGCUGUACGAGGAGUACAACUAGCUGGUGGACAUCUACUUCUUUGGAAUGUGCGUGCUCGAGAUGGUGACGUUUGAGUACCCGCACAAUGAGUGUACACACCAGAUACAUAUCUACAAGAAAGUGAUCUCUGUAAGAAGAUCCUUGGACCCGAUGAGCCAUUUCACAACAAUUGUGAUUCAGGGCGCAAUGCUUUUGGCCCUUUUGAUAGGCUACCAAGCACUGAUUGGCUAUGAUUAAUAAGACAUGGAGCCACUUUACCCAAGCAGGUCACCAGGAAUAGUCCGACCCUGCCGAGUGGAAGAAGCUACAGGGAGUGGACAUGGAGGUUCAUCCGGGAAGACAUGUAUGCAAGGAAAUUUGAUGGUUGGAAGAGUGUUUUGAUGGAAACUGAAGUUGCCACUGCCACUAACUCUUGCAUGAGCCAAAGGAUAUAGAUUGAGUCGGUCAGACAUGCACUUAUGUGCUAUAAACUCUCAUGGUUGGUUGGAGCAAGUUACUAGCUUGAUUGAUCUGACAAGCUUGGACGAUGGGUUUGCACUAAUGGUGGCAUUGGGUAAUUUUCAUACAUGUAUGUAUAUUGGUAUUCUAGAAUCUAAAUAACAUGACAAAACACUAAUAAUUUUACCCAGUCCAUUAACCUACGAACUGAACUGAUUACAAAAAGUAGAGAAAAUUUCAAUGAGGAAGAUGCUCCAGACUCUUACCGUCCGUGAAAGCCGACAAGCUGUUCACUUGGCUUUAAUCCGAAAUGACUUUUCUACUA